rnacentral:rRNA from 1 species
GGUGAAAAGCACCCCGGAAGGGGAGUGAAAUAGAACCUGAAACCGUGUGCUUACAAGUAGUCAGAGCCCGUUAAUGGGUGAUGGCGUGCCUUUUGUAGAAUGAACCGGCGAGUUACGAUUUGAUGCAAGGUUAAGCAGUAAAUGUGGAGCCGUAGCGAAAGCGAGUCUGAAUAGGGCGUUUAGUAUUUGGUCGUAGACCCGAAACCAGGUGAUCUACCCUUGGUCAGGUUGAAGUUCAGGUAACACUGAAUGGAGGACCGAACCGACUUACGUUGAAAAGUGAGCGGAUGAACUGAGGGUAGCGGAGAAAUUCCAAUCGAACCUGGAGAUAGCUGGUUCUCUCCGAAAUAGCUUUAGGGCUAGCCUCAAGUGAUGAUUAUUGGAGGUAGAGCACUGUUUGGACGAGGGGCCCCUCUCGGGUUACCGAAUUCAGACAAACUCCGAAUGCCAAUUAAUUUAACUUGGGAGUCAGAACAUGGGUGAUAAGGUCCGUGUUCGAAAGGGAAACAGCCCAGACCACCAGCUAAGGUCCCAAAAUAUAUGUUAAGUGGAAAAGGAUGUGGCGUUGCCCAGACAACUAGGAUGUUGGCUUAGAAGCAGCCAUCAUUUAAAGAGUGCGUAAUAGCUCACUAGUC